CCUACGGGCGGCAGCAGUGAGGAAUAUUGGUCAAUGGACGAGAGUCUGAACCAGCCAAGUGGCGUGAAGGAUGACUGCCCUAUGGGUUGUAAACUUCUUUUAUAUGGGAAUAAAAUGUUCCACGUGUGGGUUUUUGUAUGUACCAUAUGAAUAAGGAUCGGCUAACUCCGUUCCAGCAGCCGCGGUAAUACGGAGGGUCCGGGCGUUAUCCGGAUUUAUUGGGUUUAAAGGGAGCGUAGGUGGAUUGUUAAGUCAGUUGUGAAAGUUUGCGGCGCAACCGUAAAAGUGCAGUGCAAACUGGCAGUCUUGAGUACAGUAGAGGUGGGCGGAAGUCGUGGUGUAGCGGUGAAAUGCUUAGAUAUCACGAAGAACUCCGAUUGCGAAGGCAGCUCACUGGACUGCAACUGACACUGAGGCUCGAAAGUGUGGGUAUCAAACAGGAUUAGAUACCCUAGUAGUC
rnacentral:rRNA from 1 species